AUAUAUUUAAUUUUUUCUUGUUGUAGGUAAGUAGUUGUAUGUAUGAUAUGUAACAUAAUCAUUCUUACCUUUGACUUCCCAAGUAACCAUCCAGCACUUAAAAAAGUCAUAAAAUAGCAAUAAAUCGGCAUUCUAUUGCUGAUUAGUCUUCCAACAGCAUUUGUUAAUGCAAAUCAGCACUAAAUCAUUAGCAUUGUCAAAAGCUAAGAUAAUGCCGAUUUAGUGCCGCUACUAGCAACACUUCUAAAAAUUUCCAUCAAACUGGCAACACGAUUCUGACUUUGAAUGAAGUGUGAAAGAGAGAGUACCAGAGUAAACAAACUUCUUGCUCACUCUUGCAGUCACUCAUUCAGAAUUUUUUUGUACAGAAGUUGUUUUUUAAUAUAUAUUUAGGUGUUUUAUCAUUUUUUAAAGAAUAAUCCAUCGUCUCAAUGAUGGAGAACUUCAAACAGCCGUCCCCGCGAGUCCCGCUCGGGUGUUACUUCAGCGGUUGGCCCACAAGAAGUCCGGAAUUUGCAAGAGGCAGUGGCAUCGAGUUUCAGGACAGAUUCAGAUGCACCGUCGAAUGCUAUGACCCGCAUGACGUCAUCGUCAACAACGGAGAAUGAGCUAGGUUGCUACCCUAAACCGGGAGGGAGUUGUUUUGGUUUUCGUGUGACGUGCUUGGCAAAUAAAUGUAAAAAUAAAGUAAAUUCACUUUCAUUAAAAUGGAGACAUUAGUUUUAUAA